rnacentral:tRNA from 1 species
CGGGGCGUGGCGCAGCGGCUUAGCGCGCAUGGUUCGGGACCAUGAGGUCGUGGGUUCAAAUCCCACCGCCCCGA